AGUGGCGAACGGGUGAGUAAUAUAUCGGAACGUACCCUAGAGUGGGGGAUAACGUAGCGAAAGUUACGCUAAUACGCAUACGAUCUAAGGAUGAAAGUGGGGGAUCGCAAGACCUCAUGCUCGUGGAGCGGCCGAUAUCUGAUUAGCUAGUUGGUAGGGUAAAAGCCUACCAAGGCAUCGAUCAGUAGCUGGUCUGAGAGGACGACCAGCCACACUGGAACUGAGACACGGUCCAGACUCCUACGGGAGGCAGCAGUGGGGAAUUUUGGACAAUGGGCGAAAGCCUGAUCCAGCAAUGCCGCGUGAGUGAAGAAGGCCUUCGGGUUGUAAAGCUCUUUUGUCAGGGAAGAAACGGUGAGAGCUAAUAUCUCUUGCUAAUGACGGUACCUGAAGAAUAAGCACCGGCUAACUACGUGCCAGCAGCCGCGGUAAUACGUAGGGUGCAAGCGUUAAUCGGAAUUACUGGGCGUAAAGCGUGCGCAGGCGGUUUUGUAAGUCUGAUGUGAAAUCCCCGGGCUCAACCUGGGAAUUGCAUUGGAGACUGCAAGGCUAGAAUCUGGCAGAGGGGGGUAGAAUUCCACGUGUAGCAGUGAAAUGCGUAGAUAUGUGGAGGAACACCGAUGGCGAAGGCAGCCCCCUGGGUCAAGAUCGACGCUCAUGCACGAAAGCGUGUGGAGCAAACAGGAUUAGAUACCCUGGUAGUCCACGCCCUAAACGAUGUCUACUAGUUGU
rnacentral:rRNA from 1 species